GGGGCUGACCGGUUUUGACAGCAAGACCAAUGGAUAGGUAAGCAUACCGAGCCACGCAGUAUGAUCUCGUAAAACUUGUAUUGCAAACCAUAACUGGCAACGAAGAAUACGCUUUAGCAGCCUAAUCGACUGAAUUACAGUAAGUCUUGGUAUUUCCGCACAAGGUGUGGAGGCUAAAUGUCUCUCAAAAGCUACGUUCCACAGCGUUUGGUACAGAGGCACAGGAAAGUGGAAAUAGAACAGAAAGCGCAUUGAUUUUUGUUUGAAUUUUUAGAUGCUAAGCCGCAGAUAGAGUGUGAGUUCUCGGUCUUCGGACGAAAAUUAAAAACUUACUAAGUAUGUAGAAAGUUUAUGUAUUGCUUGUUUGGACGAGAGUUCGAAUCUCUCCAGCUCCACAA
rnacentral:tmRNA from 1 species